AAUGAUCUGCCGCCGGGUAGAUCCUGUCGAUUUCAGGUAUCAGGUUUCGCAUCGUUAGGCCUUAGAAGGUGCGAAACGCUGGUACCUUUUUUG
rnacentral:ncRNA from 1 species